rnacentral:lncRNA from 1 species
CCCGUACUAGGCAACCAAGGUACCAACCCCUCGAUACGGUUAUACGGGCCUACUACCCCCCGUACUAGGCUUGGUCGACUCACAACACGUAUAUAGAGAAAAUCAUAUACAUGUGUCCAUUUCAUCAUCAUUUCAAUAAUUAUAUAACCAUUCGAUUCAUAGGACGUACAUUGGACCUUCCAUUUCCUAAGGAUUCUAUAAAUGGGCAUUUUAUCAAACACAUGAUGGGCUAUUGUUCAUGUAAAUGAAAUCAUGUACUUCAAGAGUACUAAGUCCAACCAAUUCCGAAAUACGUAUAAAUCAGC